rnacentral:rRNA from 1 species
UAAUACAGAGGGUGCAAGCGUUAAUCGGAUUUACUGGGCGUAAAGCGCGCGUAGGCGGCUAAUUAAGUCAAAUGUGAAAUCCCCGAGCUUAACUUGGGAAUUGCAUUCGAUACUGGUUAGCUAGAGUGUGGGAGAGGAUGGUAGAAUUCCAGGUGUAGCGGUGAAAUGCGUAGAGAUCUGGAGGAAUACCGAUGGCGAAGGCAGCCAUCUGGCCUAACACUGACGCUGAGGUGCGAAAGCAUGGGGAGCAAACAGGAUUAGAUACCCUGGUAGUCCAUGCCGUAAACGAUGUCUACUAGCCGUUGGGGCCUUUGAGGCUUUAGUGGCGCAGCUAACGCGAUAAGUAGACCGCCUGGGGAGUACGGUCGCAAGACUAAAACUCAAAUGAAUUGACGG